CAGGCGGUUUGUUAAGUCAGAUGUGAAAUCCCCGGGCUCAACCUGGGAACUGCAUCUGAUACUGGCAAGCUUGAGUCUCGUAGAGGGGGGUAGAAUUCCAGGUGUAGCGGUGAAAUGCGUAGAGAUCUGGAGGAAUACCGGUGGCGAAGGCGGCCCCCUGGACGAAGACUGACGCUCAGGUGCGAAAGCGUGGGGAGCAAACAGGAUUAGAUACCUAGGUAGUCCACGCCGUAAACGAUGUCGACUUGGAGGUUGUGCCCUUGAGGCGUGGCUUCCGGAGCUAACGCGUUAAGUCGACCGCCUGGGGAGUCCGGCCGCAAGGUUAAAACUCAAAUGAAUUGACGGGGGCCCGCACAAGCGGUGGAGCAUGUGGUUUAAUUCGAUGCAACGCGAAGAACCUUACCUGGUCUUGACAUCCACGGAAGUUUUCAGAGAUGAGAAUGUGCCUUCGGGAACCGUGAGACAGGUGCUGCAUGGCUGUCGUCAGCUCGUGUUGUGAAAUGUUGGGUUAAGUCCCGCAACGAGCGCAACCCUUAUCCUUUGUUGCCAGCGGUCCGGCCGGGAACUCAAAGGAGACUGCCAGUGAUAAACUGGAGGAAGGUGGGGAUGACGUCAAGUCAUCAUGGCCCUUACGACCAGGGCUACACACGUGCUACAAUGGCGCAUACAAAGAGAAGCGACCUCGCGAGAGCAAGCGGACCUCAUAAAGUGCGUCGUAGUCCGGAUUGGAGUCUGCAACUCGACUCCAUGAAGUCGGAAUCGCUAGUAAUCGUGGAUCAGAAUGCCACGGUGAAUACGUUCCCGGGCCUUGUACACACCGCCCGUCACACCAUGGGAGUGGGUUGCAAAAGAAGUAGGUAGCUUAACCUUCGGGAGGGCGCUUACCACUUUGUGAUUCAU
rnacentral:rRNA from 1 species